GCGGAGGAUCAUUAUUGAANGAAACACUUCUGGCUUUAUGCUGUUGUGCUGGCCCUUUGGGCAAUGUGCACACGGCUCUGGUCACUUGUUUCUUCUGUUCCACCUGUGCACUGCCUGUAGACACGCUGUGUCUAUGAUAUUUGUUAACACACAACAAUGUUAGUUGGCAUGUUAUAUAUAAUAAUAAAAUAUACAACUUUCAACAACGGAUCUCUUGGCUCUCGCAUCGAUGAAGAACACAGCGAAAUGUGAUAAGUAAUGUGAAUUGCAGAAUCCAGUGAAUCAUCGAAUCUUUGAACGCAUCUUGCGCUCCUUGGCAUUCCGAGGAGCAUGCCUGUUUGAGUGUCAUUAAACUAUCAAAACACUUUUUUUGUUGAAGUGUUUUGGACUUUGGGAGUACUGUGCUGGUCUCUUUUGUUUUGGACCCAGCUCUCCUCAAAAGCAUUAACUUUGGAGAACCAUCAGUGUGAUAUAUCAUUUUGUUUAUACGCUGGCUUUCUCCUUUUAAAAAUGCCCCUUUGACCUCAAAUCAGGUAGGACUACCCGCUGAACUUAAGCAUAUCAAUA
rnacentral:rRNA from 1 species